rnacentral:lncRNA from 1 species
GGCCGUUGUCGAGGGACAGAGCGUGGCCGUCCCUGGGCUGGGGAGGUGCCGUCGGGGUCUUUGAGCAUGUGCAGUCCGUCGAGGGUCAAGGGUCGAUCUUCAGUUCAUCCAGGGGAAACUGGCUGUCGGAAUGGAAGCCGACGUCGCUGACCCCGCUGGAGAGCUGACUCCUAUCACACCAAAAAAGAGGCUUCACUUGGAGUGCUGCUGCUGGAUGGGGCCUGAUUUGUUUACCCAGAAAGAAGUGAGUUUCCUGGGAAGAGGAUUGUAUUUGUGAAAGCCUGUGCAGCAUUUCAAGGACAUUCAUGUUUUCAUCAUUCAUGUAUCAGAAAACUGAAGCCCCUGCUCAAAAACCUUACUACUCAAGCCCAUGACUGUGUGCGCACUUAUACAAUCAUUUAGCUUUCCUCAAUGAAGACAAAAUAAUAACAAUUAAAAUAGCAGCUAAUAUCUGUAGGGUACUUACUAGUGCCAGUAGUGCCUAAACACUAGUUUAAUCUUCACAAGUCCCCAAACAGAGAUAUAUAUUGUUAUUGACUCCAUUUAAUAGAUUUGGAAACUGAGUAUAGUUCAGUCUUUGGCAGAGGGCAAAUUCAUAUAGCUUAUAGAUUAAUAAGUGGCAGAGAUCAUGAUGCAACUGCAGGCUCACUGGCUUUGGAGACUCCCAUCCACCUGCAAAAACUAUCACAAAAGCAAAGACAUGGAAUAAAUAAUUAGUUGAUGCAACCUCUUGUUUCUUGGGAAACUGAAACUUCAAACUCACAGCAAAUAUGAAACUAGCUCCAAAUCUCCUGAGCCCCAGUCCUGUGCACAUGAACGUACACCAUGAAGCAUUUAAAAAAAAAAAAGAAAAAAAAACUCAUCGAGCUCAAUGUUCUAAGUAAUACUCUCUGCAUCCCCAUUCUUUGCUAACUGUUUUUUUUGGAUCCACAGCUAGGGCAUAAAACUCAUUGAUCUCAGGAUUAUGAUUAGAAUUUGUUUAAAAGAUAUGCAAGAGGACAGUUCAAAACAUACUACUGUGUUUUCUCUUUUUUUUUCCAAUUGUUCUAUAUUAUGUUUUUAAUUGUACUUUAGGUUCUGGGGUACAUGUGCAGAUCAUGCAAGAUUGUUGCAUAGGUACACACAUGGCAAUGUAGUUUUACUGCCUCCAUCCGCCUGUCACCUACAUCUGGCAUUUCUCCCCAUGUUAUCCCUCCCCAAACUCCCCACCCCCCACAGUCGCUCCCUUGGCACCACCCCAACAGACCCCAGUGUGUAGUGCUCCCCUCCCUGUGUCCAUGUGUUCUCAUCGUUCAACACCCACCUAUGAGUGAGAACAUGUGGUGUUUGAUUUUCUGUUCUGUGUCAGUUUGCUGAGAAUGAUGGUUUCCAGAUUAAUCCAUGUUCCUACAAAGGACACGAACUCAUCAUUUUUUAUGGCUGCAUAAUAUUCCAUGGUGUAUAUGUGCCACAUUUUUCUUGUCCAGUCUGUCAUUGAUGGCCAUUUGG